rnacentral:rRNA from 1 species
UACAGAGGUGGCAAGCGUUGUUCGGAAUUACUGGGCGUAAAGGGCGCGUAGGCGGUUCGAUAAGUCCUGUGUGAAAUCCCUCGGCUCAACUGAGGAACUGCACGGGAGACUGUCGGGCUUGAGUUCGGGAGAGGGAAGCGGAAUUCCGGGUGUAGCGGUGAAAUGCGUAGAUAUCGUGAGGAAUCACCGGUGGCGAAGGCGGCUACUCGAUCGGACCGCUAGUACGGAGC